GAUGAACGCUGGCGGCGUGCCUAAUACAUGCAAGUCGAGCGAACAGACGAGGAGCUUGCUCCUCUGACGUUAGCGGCGGACGUGUGAGUAACACGUGGAUAACCUACCUAUAAGACUGGGAUCACUUCGGGAAACCGGAGCUAAUACCGGAGAAUAUAUUGAACCGCAUGGUUCAAUAGUGAAAGACGGUUUUGCUGUCACUUAUAGAUGGAUCCGCGCCGCAUUAGCUAGUUGGUAAGGUAACGGCCUACCAAGGCAACGAUGCGUAGCCGACCUGAGAGGGUGAUCGGCCACACUGGAGCGGAGACGGGGUCCAGAGUCCUACGAGAGGCAGCAGUAGGCAAUCGUCCGCAGUGGGCGAAAGCUUGACGGAGCAACGCCGCGCGAGUGAUAAAGGUCUUCGGAUCGUAAUACUCUGUUAUUAGGGAAGAACAGAUGUGGAAGUAGACAUGCACGUCUUGACGGUACCGAAUCAGAAAGCCACGGCUAACUACGUG
rnacentral:rRNA from 1 species